rnacentral:rRNA from 1 species
CCUACGGGGUGCUGCAGUGGGGAAUAUUGGACAAUGGGCGAAAGCCUGAUCCAGCCAUGCCGCGUGUGUGAAGAAGGCCUUCGGGUUGUAAAGCACUUUCAGUGGGGAAGAAAGCCUUGGGGCUAAUACCCUCGAGGAAGGACAUCACCCACAGAAGAAGCACCGGCUAACUCCGUGCCAGCAGCCGCGGUAAUACGGAGGGUGCGAGCGUUAAUCGGAAUUACUGGGCGUAAAGCGCGCGUAGGCGGUCUGAUAAGCCGGUUGUGAAAGCCCCGGGCUCAACCUGGGAACGGCAUCCGGAACUGGCAGGCUAGAGUGCAGGAGAGGAAGGUAGAAUUCCCGGUGUAGCGGUGAAAUGCGUAGAGAUCGGGAGGAAUACCAGUGGCGAAGGCGGCCUUCUGGACUGACACUGACGCUGAGGUGCGAAAGCGUGGGUAGCAAACAGGAUUAGAUACCCCGGUAGUC